rnacentral:rRNA from 1 species
UGGGGAAUAUUGGACAAUGGGGGCAACCCUGAUCCAGCGAUGCCGCGUGAGUGAAGAAGGCCUUCGGGUUGUAAAGCUCUUUAGUGGGGGAGGAAGCGCUCUUAUGAAUAAUGGGAGUGGUUGACGUUACCCCAAGAAUAAGCACCGGCUAACUCUGUGCCAGCAGCCGCGGUAAUACAGAGGGUGCGAGCGUUAAUCGGAAUGACUGGGCGUAAAGGGUGCGUAGGUGGUUGAUUAAGUUAGUUGUGAAAGCCCUGGGCUUAACCUGGGAAUGGCACCUAAAACUGGUUAACUGGAGUCGGUGAGAGGGGUGUGGAAUUUCCGGUGUAGCGGUGAAAUGCGUAGAGAUCGGAAAGAACACCGGUGGCGAAGGCGGCACUCUGGCACCAGACUGACACUGAGGCACGAAGGCGUGGGGAGCAAACAGGAUUAGAUACCCGGGUAGUCC